AUGGGAAGCUCGGCUGCUCUGCAGGUCAAUGCUGCUGAGGACCAAAAGCAUCACAUGGGCCACGUGAGGUUCAGCUGUCUAGAAGCAAUGCCUAACCCUGUGAGCGGGGUGGGACUGCAGAUAGCAGGGAUUGAUCCGGGGUUCCCAGACACAGCAGUGACUGUGGACAUUAUGCAGGUGUCCUGUAGAAAUAAAUGCUGUCUUCUGGAACCACAGCCUUCAGCUGGACGGGCCCCUCCAGAUCCUGAUUCCCAGGAGGGAAUCUUGACAGAAAAGGAUCACCAGGGGACAUGUCUGCUAUCUGCUUAAGUGAUAGUGUAUGCAGCAGACUCACCACAGACCAGAUGAUCUCCAUGUAUCUAG
rnacentral:lncRNA from 13 species